GUAGUAACAGCUGUGCUUGGCCUUCAUGGGACAGGAAGCUUGCUUCUCACAACCAAAGAAAGCCCAGUGGGGCAAGCUCCCCUUCUGCCUCCAAGCAGGUAGCGUGAGGACAAGAUAAGCAUUAAUACUGCGUGGGGAAAACAGCCAAUACUAAGUGAGGCAGACAUAACUAAAUACGGCUCAGUCAUUCCAUGGAUACUAAAACAACAGUUAAAUAAGACACAGAGAGGUGCAGAAAUCUAUGACACAGUGAGUGAAAAAAACAAGUUAUAAAAUAAUGCAUAAGGAAGAGGCUCAUUUAAAUAUAAAUACCAUUCUUUCCAUAUAUUUCUGGAUGUACCUAAAUGGUGUAUAGAAAAAAGGUUUAGAAGAUCACAAACCAAAUUAAUAAGAGUUGUUAUUUCUGAGAAGGUGUAGGAGUUUGGCUUUUUGGCUUGACUGCUUCUCCGUUUUGAGCAGGGCAGAGGAUGCACUGGCAGGUCCCAGGGUUGGAGAUGCAUGAACAGACUUUCCACCCUGGUCUCAGAGAAGUGAGCACCUUGCAAUUUCCUCCAAGGGUUCCCCUCCUCAGGUCGUGGUCCCACAAAUAAGCUGAUAAGGCAGGGGUGAGUGUUUGCUGCAUAUCCAGUUGGACUUGAAGCAAUUUUAGGAGAAAACCUACAGGAAGAAAAGUCCUUGGUCUUUGUCCAUGAAAGAAGGACUGAUAGUAAACAGACAGCAGGGCUGGAGAACAAAAGCCUCAAGGUAGGGUGAUGGUGCCUCAGAGCCGCUAGGGGAUAGAGUGAGGACUAGGUCAAGCUAUCAUCGUAGUUAUUAACAGUAGUUAUUUCCAAGAAGGUGUAGGAGUUCAGUCAGUGGGAAUGAAUGAAGGAAACUUUUGCUUUUUAUUAUAUCUAUUUUUGUAUUGGGUGUGUCUUUUAUAUGCAAACAUGUUCAUGUAUUACUUGCAUAAUUAAAAAGCAAAACAAAAUAAACAAAGCUAAAGUGAAGUUAUUGCACCAUUAUGGUGCUUGAACAACUCAGUGGUGUGUCAGGAACCCUUGGAAGAAAAUAUGUUCCUCCCCGCAUUGAAACGGAGGGCUAACCAGAUUGAGCCUGCCGAACUUCACCUGCCUUGCUGGCUGUAAUUGCUUACUUCUAGUCUUAAAACUCCCACUAGCUUCUUUAUAGAUAACAUUCCUGACUGUGGGUCACUGACUUAACAGGUGCUUAUAGUUGUUUUUCAGGAACUGGGGGCAGCUGUUGUCCAGUUCAAGCCAGUUGAGACCACUGACCCUUCAACUGGGCCUGUGCAGGUGCCCAAAGAGUGUCCUUUUGAUGUCAGAGAGCCAAAAACUCCACCCUUAGAUCAUGCUAACGCUGCUAUUUUCUGCACAUGGGUCUUAAGAAGAGCCAUGUAGCUUGAUGAUGUACCUGCCAGUUAACUUUUGUACCUGCCAGUUAACUUUCCCCAUACUUUAGACCAUGCUGCCUACUUUCCCAUAAGUACCCCCAAGCCUUAUUUCUAGAGAGGUGGAUUUGGGAUUUAUUCUCCUGUCUCCUUGCUCUGCAGCCUUGUGAAUAAAAAUAUUUUCUCUUUUGCAAAACCUGUUGCUGUAGUGAUUGGCUUGCUGCGUGCUGGCAGAACAAAUCUGGUCCGUAACAAUCUGUGACAGCACUAUGUGCACCUUCCCGUUGUAUCAUGGCUGUGUGCAAAUCUUUCAUAGCUCUUACCCAUUCUAAGGCAAAGGUUUGUCUCUUUGCUGUGCUGUGAGUGUGUUGUGCCUCUAGCACAUAGCACACAGUGCUCAGCAUUGACUAAGGAUGAUUCAGUGAGUGAGCGACAUGAAGCAAUGCUAAACUCAAGGACUGAGGGCUGAGAGGCACCAACCUCAAAAGGCUCUCUGUGAUCGACAGCACAUUGCCAAAUUGUCACACCAAAGAGCCUUGUUUAUAAUUUAUCAUUGCUUGGUGUCUGGGCUCUUCAAACAAGAUUUUAUAGCCCUCUACCUUUCCACGUACUUAAAAAUAUAUAUGAUCUGCAAAGGAAAGUAUUCUUUCAAAAGGAAUUCCGGUUUCAAAGGCCUGGGCCUGUGGAGUUGUCUUGGUAUAUCUUUUUAUCUUUCACAUUUUCCUAUCUUAUCUAGUACAUCAAUGCAUCCCUGUCUGUUUCUUUAUUUCCAUACUCUAUGCCACUUCUCUCUCACUUUAUGCCCCGUGGGUGACAAGGGCGCCUCAAUAUUUAUAGGUGGACAGAGCCCCAACCUAUCCCCUCCAGUGGCAAACUGCCUCUCCUCCUACCCAGUGAGCUGGAGCACACACUCAUUUUCUGUCUUCUAUGAGGUGGAAACUUCUAAAAAGUCCUGUGCAUAUUAAGAUGUGACCACCCCGGGGUACACCUGACCUCCCUCCCUGCUCGUGUGCUUUCUGUCCACUGGAGGCAGCAGAGGAACCUUCUGAAAUGCGGCUUUGCUCUCCUGCAUUUGCCCUCUGCCUGCCUGAACACUGAUGUGAAGACACUGCAGGGUCCUUCAUCUGUUUUUCUCCCAGCUGCACUCAAUACCCACCAUCCAACCGCUUGAAUGGCCAACACUAUCAUUCCUAUUCCCUGUGCUUGGCACAUGCUGCUUUCAUCCAUCAGAAAGCCCCUUGGUUCUCUCUUCAUUUUCAUAAAGUCUUCCCUAAUGCCGUCUUUCCACAGUGAGCUCCACCUCACAAUCCUCACAGCCCAGGCUGACUUUCAGGUGAUGCAAACUCAGAGGACUUUAGGGUCUGUCUGGGUAAUUUAAUGAGUGAAAUUAUCAGACAUUACACAACAAGGAGGAGCUGGGACUAUGCUGUGUGGAAAAGUGUGUGCCCUGGGUGAGGACUCUUAAAUCUAUGUUCUUGUUAAUGCCAACACUGCCUCAUAGAACACCAGUUUUCCAUGUGCAUAAACAAUUACCUGGAAUCUUCAGCCAGGCGCCAUGGCUAAUGCCUGUAAUCUCAGCACUUUGGGGGGCUGAGGUCGGCGGACUGCUUGAGCCCAGGAGUUGGAGACCAGCCUGGGCAACAUAGCGAAACCUCCUCGCAACUAAAAAUACAAAAAUUAGCUGGGCGUGGUGGUGUGUGCCUGUCAUUCUAGCUACUCAGGAGGCUGAGGUACCAGAAUUUCUUGAACCUGGGAGAUGGACGUUGCAGUAAGCCAAGAUCAUGCCACUGAACUCCAGUCUGGAUGACAGAGAGAGACUCUGUCUCAAAAAUAAAGAAAAAAAGGAAUCUUCUGUGUUCUGCAACAUUUCUUAUGACAUGUGUAAAAUCCCUAAUAGCCUGUGGUGUGCAGUUCUUCGUCAGCCCCCACAACACACAAAAUAUGGCAAAACACAAAAUGCAUGCUUAAAAAGUACUAGACAAACUAAACUGAAAAUAUUUUAAUCCAGUACUUCUAUUGAGUUAGCAAAUAAAUGACAACAGAUUUUGAAAAAACCUGAAAAUAAAUCCAGUCAUUCAUUGAUUCAAAACUGUUUAGUGGCUGGGCACGGUGGCUCACGCCUGUAAUCCCAGCACUUUGGGAGGCCAAGGUGGGUGGAUCACCUGAGGUCAGGAGUUCGAGACCAGCCUGGCCAACAUGGCAAAAAUCAGUCUCUAUUAAAAAUACAAAAAUUAGCUGCGCAUGUGGUGCACGCCUGUAAUCCCAGCUACUUGGGAGGCUGAGGCAGGAGAAUUGCUUGAACCCAGGAGACGGAGGUUGCAGUGAGCCGAGAUUGCGCCACUGCACUGCAGCCUGGGCAAGACUCUGUCUCAAAACAACAGAGCAAGACUCUGUAUCAAAACAAAACAACAGAAUGAGACUCUGUCUCAAAACAACAGCAACAAAACUGUUUACUGAGUAUCUUCUAUUUGCAAAUCACUGCUGUAGGUGCUGGAAAUACAACGUACAGAAGAGCGAAAGCCCCUGCAUUCAUGGAGCUUACAUUCUCCUGGGAAGGAGGAAUGAAAACACAAAGAAAUAAAUAUAGAAGAAUAUAUCAGAAUGAGGAGACUAGGCUGGAGGCGGAUGUGGAGGGGAUGUUUUAGGAAGGGUCAAGAAAAGGACCGGUGAACAAUGAAUAAAAAAGGGCCAUGUCACUAUCUGAGGCAGGUGCAGUGCAGGCAGAAGAAUGUUGUGCAAAGGUUUUGAGGCAGGGAUAACCCUGGUGUGUGUGACAACUAUCACCAAGGAAGCCCCAUGGCUAUAACAGAGAGGGCAGAGGGAAAUGAGGUGGGAGUUGUGGAUGAGGUUAGACCACUGGGGACUUCACACUUAAGGACCUUGAAUUUGUUUCUGGGUGGGUUGAGAAGCCAUUGGAGGUUUUUUUUUUUUUUUUUUUUUUUUUUUUUUUUUUUUUACAGAAGAGUGAUACAAUUUGUUUUAUGCUUUGAAAGGCUCACCAAAGCUGUUGUCUGAUGAAUGGAAUGAAGAAAGCACAGUGCAGUGGGAGGACCCUAGGCUAAAGUCCAGUUUCCUUGGUGCCAGGCCUGGCUUGUUCACUAACUUGCUUGGGUGAUGUUGAGCAGGACACUUAACUCUUGGCUUGUUGGGUGUCGUUAGGCAGAACACUUAACUCUGGGCAGUUCUGUGCCCCUCUGUAAGUAUGAAGGAGCAACCUUGGAUUGUGGAUCUUCAGAUAAUACCGGCUCCAACAUUCUGAAUCUUGGUAUUGAGCAUUUAACCACACCUAACAGAUACACCACCAGUGACAGCAAGUAUUUAAUCAUUGUCACAGAUGGCUGGGCUGACAUGUGGCAUGAAAGACUUAUGAAAGUUCUAAAGGCAGGCAAGAAUGGUUUAUUUUAUAUGACUCACUGUUAGAAGAGGAAUCCCUUUCCCCAUCCCUAGAUGAGCAUGGCAUACACCAAAGGCUUGGAAGCAGUGGUGGUGGGGGUAUUGCUGGUGGCCAGAAAGGCAGGCAGAAAAGGAGAGACACUUCCUCUUAUCGACAUCUUUGCCAAGCACCUGCCCUUCCCAGAAGUUCAAACAGGUCAUGUCAGGUUUAUAGCUCAGGCUCAAAGCUUUGAAAAGACUCACCAUACGAUAUGAAAUGAUCAGAGAGAGAGGCAAUUUAUUAUACCUGGGAAAAUUCAAUUGCUAAUACCUGUCAGAAGUUUAUUCACAUGUUGUCAAUGCAGUGAUGAUAAGUCAGAAUUUACUGCUGUGUGGAUGCAGCUAGGGCCAUCUGUAAAUUUCUACGUGUCCUUCACACAGGCUUUCCAUUUCCUGGCAUCUCCAAGUGGAUGCUUCUAAAACAUUAUCAUCCUCCUGAACUGUCAUGCAUGUGUGAAGGUUUUCUAGCAACAACAGCCAACCACUCUCUAGCUAGGGUAGGUAUUUGCAGCCAAAUAAAUCUUUAAUUAUCUACAACAACAUCCCAGCCAAGAAUGCCCAGCAAUCAGCCCACGUGCAAUUAUUAAUCAUGUGUAAUCAGGCUUAUACUGUGCUAUGUAAAGGAUUUUGUAGGAUUGAAUGCACAUAAAUUAUCCCUUUCCUCAAGGUAAAUACAUCUGUCUUUUCAAUAUUAGCAUUCUGUCCAUCAAAGGAUGAAUAAAUAUAGUUUUCUUUUAAAAUACAGACAUGUUCCACUAAAGCAAAAACAGUUGGAUUUCUGCUUCAAAACCCAAUAAUAACUCCCAGUUGGCUAUGGAGUAAGAUCCAAAGUCCUGGGAAUGUCACUCAUAGCCCUUUAUAGUCUCACCCAACAUUCAGCCCCUGACUCAUUUCUCCCAUUCAUCAGAAUGCACCUUAAGCUUGAACUAAGCAAGACAGCUUGCUGUUUUCAAACACAGUUCUUGUGUAAUACAGGAUGGUCCUCCGAUAGUAAGGAAAUGAAUGCAGCAUACAGGGGUACAUCCAGAUCCUGAGUCAGACAUGAGCACUUCAAAUGGGGGACUAAUUUACUCAUUCAUUCACUCAUUUCUUCAAUAAUUUUAUCAGCCACUGUGUUAGGAUGGUAUGACAGAAGGGUAUGAACAAAAAUGAGCAAGAUAUAUCCUAAUCUCAAGGAGAUCACACUCCCUUUGGUGAAAACACACAGAAUUACUGAUAUUUGACUGUUUUUGACAUACAAGACAGGGCAUAUGGUUCAACCUAAUAGCUAUGCCUAAUAUCAACUAUUGCCAGGUGAUUUCUCAACUGAGGACCAGAAAUUGUCCCUGCUUAGAAUUAGAGAGCAACCAAAGGGCAGUCCGAAUCACAAUGGGCUUAUUGAGUUCCAUAUCACAUACAGACAACCUCUUUACAGGACCAAGACAUCACACUAACAUGGACAUGGAAUUUACUAGUAAUAUAAGCACUGACUUUUCUAAAGUAUGGGGAGGGGAAAAAAGACCUGAGACUCUAGGUGAUGUCAUUGAUAGGGCUCAAGGUUUAUGACCUUUAUAUGCCUCAAAUAAAAGCAAAUGUCUAAAGGGUGGGCACACUGAGGUCUGGGUACAAGGUAGCCCAGAUACAAAUUACACCUCAAGAUUGACUGCCAUAUUCGUGCAAAUGCAAGCCAAAAUAAUAAUAUCCCAUUCCAUUCAGACAGAGGGAAAUAGGGAUCAUAGCACAAUGAUUGUUCAGGGAAUACUUAUCUCCAAAUCUGGCUGGGCAGAAAUCCUAAUAGGACUUAGGAAACAAAAACCAAUUUUUGAAGGCCCAAGUUGAUCAUAAAGAUCCAGGCAUGGGUGAUUUUUAAUUAUCAUCAAUAGGUGGGGAAAUAUCCAUAGCUGCCUUCCUCUGUUCCGCACAGAUAUAUCUCAUGGACACUGAAGCACUCCUCUGCCAAAGAUUCAUGGGGAGAAGCUAACAAUCACCUUGGACCCAGCUUAGACAAACCUUCAGUAUAAGCACAAAAUUGAAGCUCUUCUGCAAGACACAGCCAGAAACCCAGCAUUUACUGUUGUUCUAGGCUCUCCCUUCUAGGCUAACCUCCUUUCUUUCUGUAUGGAUUUGCCUAUUUUAGACAUUUCAUAUAAAUAUAAUCAUACAAUACACAGCCUUUUGUGUAUGGCUUCUUUCACUUAUCAUAAUGCUUUCGGGAUUCAUCCAUGUUAAAGCACACAUCAGUACUUCAUUCCUUUUAAUGGUCGAAUCCACUUCCACAUGGGAUUUAGGCUGACUUCAGAAUAUCCACUUCUAAUGUGGCCCCUCAGUCCUUCUAAUAGUGAAGAAUCCCAAAAACAAAUUCAGGGAGGUGCUCCAAUCUGAAGGUACUACAAUACAUCCAGUCAGUGUCAGGAACAACCAGAUCCUGGUUGGGUAGUAUGUCAUUUCUGAAAUCCACUUCCCACCUGACUUUUUUGAUAUUCUCUAGAAACAUGAUAACCCAUUUUAUACUUCCAUAGAACAGAACACCUGGAGUUGCGAGGGCUAAAAGGAGUCUGGAAGUGGGCGGUUCCAUUCAGUCAAUCAAGAUCUUCUUUGCUAAUUUUCCUGACAUAAACAAACUUAAAUAUUCUCUAACAUUUGUUUAUAGCACAUAAUUUCUUUGGAAUAAUUUCUUUAAAAUAUAUGCAUAUAUAUGUAUAUAAAUGACUUAAUGCUGUGCAUUUUAGGCUGCAAAAGUUAGUUGGUUCUGAGCAUGGAAAACAUGUUGUUUUUCGUGGGGAAAGAAAGAGAGAUCAGAUUGUUAUUGUGUCUGUGUAGAAAGAAGUAGACAUAGGAGACUCCAUUUUGUUCUGUACUAAGAAAAAUUCUUCUGCCUUGAGAUGCUGUUAAUCUAUAACCUUACCCCCAACCCCGUGCUCUCUGAAACAUGUGCUGUGUCAAAUUCAGAGUUAAAUGGAUUAAGGGCUAUGCAAGAUGUGCUUUGUUAAACAGAUGCUUCAAGGCAGCAUGCUCCUUAAGAGUCAUCACCACUCCCUAAUCUCAAGUACCCAGGGACACAAAAACUGCAGAAGGCCGCAGGGACCUCUGCCUAGGAAAGCCAGAGACCUUUGUUCACGUGUUUAUCUGCUGACCUUCUCUCCACUAUUAUCCUGUGACCCUGACACAACCCCCUCUCUGAGAAACACCCAAGAAUGAUCAAUAAAUACUAAGGGAACUCAGAGGCUGGCGGGAUCCUCCAUAUGCUGAACGCUGGUCCCCUGGGCCCCCUUAUUUC